rnacentral:rRNA from 1 species
GACGAACGCUGGCGGCACGCCUAAUACAUGCAAGUCGAACGCCAAAUCUUCCUGCUUGCAGGAAGAGGCGGAGUGGCGAACGGGUGAGUAACACGUGAGGAACUUGCCCAUAAGAGGGGGAUAACACCCGGAAACGGGUGCUAAUACCGCAUCGGUUUUCCCAGUGCAUGCUGGGAAAAUAAAAGGUGGCUCUGCUACCGCUUAUGGAUAGCCUCGCGGCGCAUUAGCUAGUUGGUAGGGUAAAGGCCUACCAAGGCCAUGAUGCGUAGCCGACUUGAGAGGGUGAUCGGCCACACUGGAACUGAGACACGGUCCAGACUCCUACGGGAGGCAGCAGUAGGGAAUCUUCCACAAUGGGUGCAAGCCUGAUGGAGCAAUGCCGCGUGAGUGAAGAAGGACUUCGGUUCGUAAAGCUCUGUUGUUGGGGAAGAACACGGAUAGGAGUCACUGCCUAUCCCGUUGACGGUACCCAACCAGAAAGUCACGGCUAACCUACGUGCCAGCCGCCGCGGUAAUACGUAGGUGACAAGCGUUGUCCGGAUUUAUUGGGCGUAAAGCGAGCGCAGGCGGUCCGGUAAGUCUGAUGUGAAAGCCCACGGCUCAACCGGGGAACGCCAUUGAGAACUGGGCGGACUUGAAUUAAGCAGAGGAAAAGUGGAAUUCCCUGUGUAGCGGUGGAAAGCGUAGAUAUAUGGAGGAACACCAGUGGCGAAAGCGACUUUCUGGGCUAUGGAUUGACGCUGAGGCUAGAAAGCGUGGGGAGCGAACAGGAUUAGAUACCCUGGUAGUCCACGCCGUAAACGAUGAGUGCUAAGUGUUGGAGGGUUUCCCCCCUUCAGUGCUGGAGUUAACGCAUUAAGCACUCCGCCUGGGGAUUACGACCGCAAGGUUGAAACUCAAAAGAAUAGACGGGGACCCGCACAAGCGGUGGAGCAUGUGGUUUAAUUCGAAGCAACGCGAAGAACCUUACCAGCUCUUGACAUCUUCUGCUAGCUUCAGAGAUGAAGGGUUCCCUUCGGGGACAGAAUGACAGGUGGUGCAUGGUUGUCGUCAGCUCGUGUCGUGAGAUGUUGGGUUAAGUCCCGUAACGAGCGCAACCCUUAUUGUUAGUUGCCAGCAUUGAGUUGGGCACUCUAGCAAGACUGCCGGUGAUAAACCGGAGGAAGGCGGGGAUGACGUCAAAUCAUCAUGCCCCUUAUGAGCUGGGCUACACACGUGCUACAAUGGAUGGUACAACGAGUGGCGAGACCGCGAGGUUUAGCUAAUCUCCCAAAGCCAUUCUCAGUUCGGAUUGCAGGCUGCAACUCGCCUGCAUGAAGUCGGAAUCGCUAGUAAUCGCGGAUCAGAAUGCCGCGGAGAAUUCGUUCCCGGGUCU